ACGCUGGCGGCAUGCUUUACACAUGCAAGUCGAACGGCAGCACGAAAGAGCUUGCUCUUUUGGUGGCGAGUGGCGAACGGGUGAGUAAUGCAUCGGAACGUACCGAGUAAUGGGGGAUAACUAUCCGAAAGGAUAGCUAAUACCGCAUACGCUUUGAGAAGGAAAGUGGGGGCUCUUCGGACCUCACGUUAUUCGAGCGGCCGAUGUCUGAUUAGCUAGUUGGUGGGGUAAAGGCCUACCAAGGCGACGAUCAGUAGCGGGUCUGAGAGGAUGAUCCGCCACACUGGGACUGAGACACGGCCCAGACUCCUACGGGAGGCAGCAGUGGGGAAUUUUGGACAAUGGGCGCAAGCCUGAUCCAGCCAUGCCGCGUGUCUGAAGAAGGCCUUCGGGUUGUAAAGGACUUUUGUUAGGGAAGAAAAGGAUAGUGUUAAUACCAUUAUCUGCUGACGGUACCUAAAGAAUAAGCACCGGCUAACUACGUGCCAGCAGCCGCGGUAAUACGUAGGGUGCGAGCGUUAAUCGGAAUUACUGGGCGUAAAGCGAGCGCAGACGGUUUAUUAAGCAAGAUGUGAAAUCCCCGAGCUUAACUUGGGAACUGCGUUUUGAACUGGUAAGCUAGAGUAUGUCAGAGGGGGGUAGAAUUCCACGUGUAGCAGUGAAAUGCGUAGAGAUGUGGAGGAAUACCGAUGGCGAAGGCAGCCCCCUGGGAUAAUACUGACGUUCAUGCUCGAAAGCGUGGGUAGCAAACAGGAUUAGAUACCCUGGUAGUCCACGCCCUAAACGAUGUCAAUUAGCUGUUGGGGCACUUGAUGCCUUAGUAGCGAAGCUAACGCGUGAAAUUGACCGCCUGGGGAGUACGGUCGCAAGAUUAAAACUCAAAGGAAUUGACGGGGACCCGCACAAGCGGUGGAUGAUGUG
rnacentral:rRNA from 1 species